rnacentral:rRNA from 1 species
UACAGAGGUCCCAAGCGUUGUUCGGAUUCAUUGGGCGUAAAGGGUGCGUAGGCGGCGCGGUAAGUCGGGUGUGAAAUCUCGGGGCUUAACUCCGAAACUGCAUUCGAUACUGCCGUGCUUGAGGACUGGAGAGGAGACUGGAAUUUACGGUGUAGCGGUGAAAUGCGUAGAGAUCCGGAGGAACCCCAGAGGCGAAGGCGGCGUCCUGGCUCGCAUCUGACGCUCAGACACGACAGCAUGGGGAGCGAACGGG